rnacentral:rRNA from 1 species
AGUCGAACGUGAAGCCCCUUCGGGGGUGGAAAGUGGCGCACGGGUGAGUAACACGUGGGUAAUCAACCCGCUGGACUGGGACAACCCGGGGAAACCCGGGCUAAUACCGGAUGAGACGUGGGACCCCUUGGGGCCCCACGGGAAAGACCCGCAAGGGUCGCCAGCGGACGAGCCCGCGCCCCAUCAGCUUGUUGGUGAGGUAAUGGCUCACCAAGGCCAAGACGGGUAGCUGGUCUGAGAGGAUGAUCAGCCACACUGGAACUGAGACACGGUCCAGACUCCUACGGGAGGCAGCAGUGGGGAAUAUUGCGCAAUGGGCGAAAGCCUGACGCA